rnacentral:rRNA from 1 species
CCUACGGGAGGCAGCAGUGGGGAAUAUUGGACAAUGGGGGCAACCCUGAUCCAGCCAUGCCGCGUGUGUGAAGAAGGCCCUCGGGUUGUAAAGCACUUUCAGUGAGGAAGAACGCCUGGUGGUUAAUACCCAUCAGGAAAGACAUCACUCACAGAAGAAGCACCGGCUAACUCCGUGCCAGCAGCCGCGGUAAUACGGAGGGUGCGAGCGUUAAUCGGAAUUACUGGGCGUAAAGCGCGCGUAGGUGGCUUGAUAAGCCGGUUGUGAAAGCCCCGGGCUCAACCUGGGAACGGCAUCCGGAACUGUCAAGCUAGAGUGCAAGAGAGGAAGGUAGAAUUCCCGGUGUAGCGGUGAAAUGCGUAGAGAUCGGGAGGAAUACCAGUGGCGAAGGCGGCCUUCUGGACUGACACUGACACUGAGGUGCGAAAGCGUGGGUAGCAAACAGGAUUAGAUACCCUAGUAGUC